rnacentral:rRNA from 1 species
CCUACGGGUGGCAGCAGUGAGGAAUAUUUGUCAAUGGACGAGAGUCUGAACCAGCCAAGUAGCGUGAAGGAUGACUGCCCUAUGGGUUGUACACUUCUUUUAUAUGGGAAUAAAACGUUCCACGUGUGGGAUUUUGUAUGUACCAUAUGAAUAAGGAUCGGCUAACUCCGUGCCAGCAGCCGCGGUAAUACGGAGGAUCCGAGCUUUAUCUGGAUUUUUUGGGUUUAAAGGGAGCGUAGGUGGAUUGUUAAGUCAGUUGUGAAAGUUUGCGGCUCAACCGUAAAAUUGCAGUUGAAACUAGCAGUCUUGAGGACAGUAGAGGUGGGCGGAAUUCGUGGUGUAGCGGUGAAAUGCUUAGAUAUCACGAAGAACUCCGAUUGCGAAGGCAGUUCACUGGACUGCAACUGACACUGAGGCUCGAAAGUGUGGGUAUCAAACAGGAUUAGAUACCCCAGUAGUC